rnacentral:rRNA from 1 species
UCAACGGAGAGUUUGAUCCUGGCUCAGGACGAACGCUGGCGGCGUGCUUAACACAUGCAAGUUGCACGGUACCCGAUGAAUAGCUUGCUAUGAAGCGGGUAUAGUGGCGGACGGGUGAGUAACGCGUGAG